UGUUUCCUUUUCCCCUUUUCUCUGUUUCGCUUAUCCGCUUCAAAGCUAACCCUAGUCAGUGCUGGUCGUGCUUAAACAGGGAAAUUAAUAUCAUUAAUCACUCAAUUUAUUAGAUCCAAUCCAGUUGAAGAGUCGCCCAGAUCUCUUUCUUGGUUUGCUUGGGUUCAAUUGCCGAUGAAUUUGGUAUGCUGAGGUAAAAAAACAAAAUUAGAAUCUGAAACCUAGGGUUUUUUUUUUCUUUUUUUUUUUUGGUCGAUGGAGCCACGAGUGGGGAACAAGUAUCGAUUGGGUCGGAAGAUUGGCAGUGGAUCCUUUGGGGAGAUCUAUCUUGGGACGAAUAUUCAGACAAAUGAGGAAGUGGCGAUUAAGCUAGAAAAUGUGAAGACAAAACAUCCUCAAUUGCUAUAUGAGUCAAAGUUGUACAGAAUUUUACAAGGAGGAACUGGUAUACCAAAUGUCAGAUGGUUUGGUGUAGAAGGAGACUAUAAUGUUCUAGUUAUGGAUUUGCUUGGACCUAGUCUUGAAGACCUAUUUAAUUUUUGCAGUAGGAAACUCUCUCUGAAAACAGUUCUCAUGCUUGCUGAUCAAAUGAUCAAUCGCGUUGAGUUUGUCCACUCAAAAUCAUUUUUACAUCGAGAUAUCAAGCCUGAUAAUUUCCUUAUGGGCUUGGGACGGCGUGCAAAUCAGGUCUACGUAAUUGAUUUUGGACUGGCGAAGAAAUACAGAGACAGUUCAACUCACCAACAUAUUCCUUACAGGGAAAACAAAAACUUGACAGGAACUGCACGAUAUGCCAGUAUGAAUACUCAUCUGGGUAUAGAACAAAGCAGGAGAGAUGAUUUGGAAUCUCUUGGAUUUGUCCUAAUGUACUUCUUAAGAGGAAGCCUUCCUUGGCAGGGACUCAAAGCGGGAACUAAAAAACAGAAAUAUGAGAAAAUAAGUGAGAAGAAGGUUUCAACUUCCAUUGAGGCAUUAUGCCGGGGUUAUCCAACUGAGUUUGCAUCAUAUUUCCAUUAUUGCCGUUCACUUCGUUUUGAGGACAAGCCAGAUUAUGCUUACCUUAAGAGAAUAUUCCGCGAUCUCUUCAUUCGCGAAGGUUUCCAAUUUGACUAUGUUUUUGAUUGGACUAUUCUGAAGUAUCAGCAGUCUCAAAUGGCUGCCCCUCCUCGGACUCUUGGUCCAACUGCUGGUCCGAGCUCUGGACUCCCCCCUGCAAUCCCCAGUGGUGAGAGGCUGCCAGGUGAUGAAGAAGGGAGACUGGUGGGCACUUCUUCAGCAGAUCCUUCUAGAAGAAGAAGCUCUGGACAACUUAUAAAUGCUGGGAGCUUAUCUAGACAGAAAAGUCCAGUUGCAAAUGAUUCAUCGAGCAAGGAUGCUAUGAUGUCAAGCUCGACUUUCUUUGGAAGGUCUAGUGGAACAAUGAGACGACCUGCUGUUUCCGGUAGCCAAGAAACUUUCACUAUGAGAAACGAUAUCCGACCCUGUUCGUUCUCGCACUCCUGAAGCCAGUCCAGCUACUGUACACAAAACAUCGAGUGCUCAAAGAACUUCAGCUCCCGGUGGAUCGUCCGAGCCGAAACAAACUUCGUCCGGGAAGAACAAUUCUAGCGUAAAGAAUUACGAUUCUGCCAUAAAAGGUAUCGAUAAUUUGCAUUUUGACGAUGAAGAAAGGUUCCAUUGAAUGGAAUCCCUGCCUUUUAAUACUGCGUUCCUGUAAAUCAUCAAAUUUGUGUGAUAGAGACGAGAGGAAGAUUUAACCUUGUUGUAAUUCUCUCUCGUUCGAAUUCAAGAAAAUCAGCUGUUGCCAUUUGUUGUGCUCUCAUGAGGAUAGGUAACUGAAAAAGAAAAAAAAAAAGAACUCGAGUGGAUUGUAGACUGUUGUAAUGUUGUGUCCAUUCGAGUCGUGGUGUGGGUCUUUUAUUCCAUGUGCCGCUUGUUUCUUUACUUUGGGUAUAAAUCCCAUUUCUGCCCCUAGCCUUGAGCGUUCCUUUGUAUAAUUUGGCCGCUGUAAUGUUGGCUUUUUUCCGCAAUGUUGUUUACCAGUUCGGAACAUGUUCAAGCUCGGGCAAUUGGUUACCAAAUAUUUACACUUAAUUUGUUAUAAAUAUUUUAUUCAGCCAACUGAGCUGUUUUCACUGAUUAUGAUUAUCUCGGCUGGUGUCGAU